rnacentral:rRNA from 1 species
GAGUAACGCGUGAGGAACCUGCCUCAAAGAGGGGGACAACAGUUGGAAACGACUGCUAAUACCGCAUAAGCCCACGACCCGGCAUCGGGAAGAGGGAAAAGGAGCAAUCCGCUUUGAGAUGGCCUCGCGUCCGAUUAGCUAGUUGGUGAGGUAACGGCCCACCAAGGCGACGAUCGGUAGCCGGACUGAGAGGUUGAACGGCCACAUUGGGACUGAGACACGGCCCAGACCCCUACGGGAGGCAGCAGUGGGGAAUAUUGCACAAUGGGGGAAACCCUGAUGCAGCGACGCCGCGUGGAGGAAGAAGGUCUUCGGAUUGUAAACUCCUGUUGUUGAGGAA